UACGUAGGGCGCAAGCGUUGUCCGGAAUUAUUGGGCGUAAAGAGCUCGUAGGUGGCUUGUUGCGUCUGCCGUGAAAUCCCGUGGCUUAACUGCGGGUCUGCGGUGGAUACGGGCAGGCUAGAGUGUGGUAGGGGAGAUCGGAAUUCCUGGUGUAGCGGUGAAAUGCGCAGAUAUCGGGAGGAACACCAAUGGCGAAGGCAGCUCGCUGGGACGUUACUGACGCUGAGACGCGAAAGCGUGGGGAGCAAAC
rnacentral:rRNA from 1 species